rnacentral:tRNA from 1 species
AACAAGGUGGCUGAAAGGUUAAGGCAGCGGACUGCAACUCCGUUUUUUAUGAGUUCGAAUCUCAUCCUUGUUUCAA